GUCCACGCCGUAAACGAUGAGAACUAGAUGUUGGGAGGAUUGAACCUCUUAGUGUCACAGCUAACGCGUUAAGUUCUCCGCCUGGGGAGUACGGCCGCAAGGUUAACUCAAAUGAAUUGACGGGGCCCGCACAAGCGGUGGAGCAUGUGGUUUAAUUCGACGCAACGCGAAGAACCUUACCAGGUCUUGACAUCCAGAGAAUUUUCCAGAGAUGGAUUAGUGCCUUCGGGAGCUCUGAGACAGGUGCUGCAUGGCUGUCGU
rnacentral:rRNA from 1 species